ACCAGCAAUGCAUUAGUGUCCCAAUUUUGCCACAUCCCUUCCAACAUUUAUUAUUUUCCUUUUACAGUCAAAUCGGCCAAUCUUUAACAGCUUUGAUGGACAUCCUGCUGCAAUGCAGAAGAGUGGUAAGAGUUGGGCAAUGGUGGUUAAUUGACUUGGCCAGGUUCACACAGCUGGUAAGUGUCUGAGGUCACAUUUGAACCCAUGUCCUCCCAUCUCUAGUCCUGCCUUUCAAUCUCCUAAACUACCCAGCUGUCUCCUCCAUGUUUUUUUUUUUCAUGAUCAUCUUGCUUGUCAUUUCUUAUUAUAAUUCUUUUUUUUUAGGUUUAUUUGUUUA
rnacentral:lncRNA from 1 species